CCCUUAGAUGUCCUGGGCUGCACGCGCGCUACACUGAUGUGUCCAGUAAGCACCUAACCUAUUCCGAGAGGAGCGGGUAACCUUAGCAAAGCACAUCGUGAUGGGGAUAGAUUAUUGCAAUUAUUAGUCUUGAACGAGGAAUUCCUAGUAAGCACAAGUCGUCAGCUUGUGUUGAUUACGUCCCUGCCCUUUGUACACACCGCCCGUCGCUCCUACCGAUUGAAUGUUCCGGUGAGCUCUUCGGACUGCGCGGUCUGCAGUUUCUGCGUUCCGUGCGGAAAGUUGUGCAAACCUUAACAUUUAGAGGAAGGAGAAGUCGUAACA
rnacentral:rRNA from 1 species